rnacentral:rRNA from 1 species
CUGGCACUGUUGGCUAAGCAGGCAUGGAGGAUUCUUGAUAACCCUAAAUCUUUAAGUACCCGGAUUCUGAAGGCGGUAUAUUUUCCUAAUACGGAUAUUUUGAGCGAUGAGGUUGGUUCACACCCGUCUCAGAUAGGAAGGUCUGUGAUAGAAGGACGGGAUGUGUUGAAACAGGGACUAAUAAUGAGAAUUGGCAAUGGAGUGUCUACAAAAAUAUGGAACAUGAAUUGGAUACCAAGGCCAGAGAAUAUGCAUCCGAUGGUGUCAUUGGUAACAGAUCCACUGUAA